rnacentral:misc_RNA from 1 species
UCUGGAGCUUAGAGCGCAUCCCGAAAAGUGUGAAACGGUUUUCGGAAAAGAUGCGCGUCAAAGCAAA